AAGGACAAAGUACUGCUUUCUAGGCUGGGUUGUUGGAGAAGAUGUGGAGUCAAUAUUGUACAAGCUACUAACGGUAGAACAGUUACCUGAGGAACAGAAAGAAAAGCCAAAACCUAUUCAACAUUAAGAAGAAAUCCAGAUGCUAAGAUAUGACAAUGGUCAAAUGGAAAGGAAGGAAAUAUCCACUCACUGUUAUCCACUCUACAAUACGUGAGUAUAGUUUUCAAACAAAGACAUUCAAACUUUUUGUGCACUAUUAGAUUUACGUGUUCUUGAUAUACCUUCUUGCCUUAUUCCUUCUAUAAUCAAUUCACAUGUAAUUAUCAAAAAUAAAAUAAAAUAACACAAAGAAAUCUCCUAAAGUGCAAGGCUAUAGCUCUAGUUCUAAUAUGCCUCUCCUCACAUAUCCUAAGGAGAUGAUCUGGAACUUCUUAUUCCAUUCUUUUAUGUUAAAUCCUGAUUGGGCAGUAAAUAAAUCAUGUGUGCUUUGCUAGAUGCAUUUUCCAUUGUUCAGCUUCUUAAAGCUGGUAAAUCAGUAUCCCGCAAAUCCAAAGAUAUGUUUUGAUUCUCUGCAUCUAGAAGUUGGAGACAGUACUAGAAACACCUGAUAUUACAACU